UGGACGAAUGGUUAAGCUGUCCGCUUUGUAAGCGGAUGAUCAUAGGUUCGAUUCCCAU
rnacentral:tRNA from 1 species